CCUACGGGAGGCAGCAGUGGGGAAUUUUGGACAAUGGGCGCAAGCCUGAUCCAGCAAUGCCGCGUGAGUGAAGAAGGCCUUCGGGUUGUAAAGCUCUUUUGUCAGGGAAGAAACGGUGGGGGCUAAUAUCUCCUGCUAAUGACGGUACCUGAAGAAUAAGCACCGGCUAACUACGUGCCAGCAGCCGCGGUAAUACGUAGGGUGCAAGCGUUAAUCGGAAUUACUGGGCGUAAAGCGUGCGCAGGCGGUUUUGUAAGUUUGUCGUGAAAUCCCCGGGCUCAACCUGGGAAUGGCGAUGAAGACUGCAAGGCUAGAAUCUGGCAGAGGGGGGUAGAAUUCCACGUGUAGCAGUGAAAUGCGUAGAGAUGUGGAGGAACACCGAUGGCGAAGGCAGCCCCCUGGGUCAAGAUUGACGCUCAUGCACGAAAGCGUGGGGAGCAAACAGGAUUAGAUACCCUGGUAGUCCACGCCCUAAACGAUGUCUACUAGUUGUCGGGUUUUAAUUAACUUGGUAACGCAGCUACGCGUGAGUAGACCGCCGUCGGGUAGGUACGGUCGCGAGAAGUUAAACGUAACAAUAGAGUAGUACGCGUGAGAGUGCGACGACGACGACGAGGGAGGAGG
rnacentral:rRNA from 1 species